CAGGUUGAAGCUCUGGUAACACAGAGUGGAGGACCGAACCAGUUGACGUUGAAAAGUCUUUGGAUGAGCUGUGGGUAGGGGUGAAAGGCCAAUCAAACUCCGUGAUAGCUGGUUCUCCCCGAAAUGCAUUUAGGUGCAGCGUCACGUGUUUCUUCCCGGAGGUAGAGCUACUGGAUGGCUGAUGGGCCCUACAAGGUUACUGACUUCAGCCAAACUCCGAAUGCCGGGAAGUGAGAGCGUGGCAGUGAGACUGCGGGCGAUAAGGUUCGUAGUCGAGAGGGAAACAGCCCAGACCAUCAACUAAGGCCCCUAAGCGUGUGCUAAGUGGGAAAGGAUGUGGAGUUGCUGAGACAACCAGGAGGUUGGCUUAGAAGCAGCCACCCUUGAAA
rnacentral:rRNA from 14 species